UACAGAGGUCUCAAGCGUUGUUCGGAUUCAUUGGGCGUAAAGGGUGCGUAGGCGGCGCGGUAAGUCGGGUGUGAAAUCUCGGAGCUUAACUCCGAAACUGCAUUCGAUACUGCCGUGCUUGAGGACUGGAGAGGAGACGUGGAAUUACGGUGUAGCGGUGAAAUGCGUAGAUAUCGUGAAGGAAGACCAGUGGCGAAGGCGGGUCUCUGGACAGUUCCUGACGCUGAGGCAC
rnacentral:rRNA from 1 species